rfam:Pseudomonas sp. BAY1663 contig000042, whole genome shotgun sequence.
CGUUAUGGCGGCUGUGCGUGGGAGACCGAAAGGUCUGCCGGUUCCCUUGGAUGCCGGUUCGCCAACCCGCGUACAGCUGCCACCCUU